rnacentral:lncRNA from 1 species
AUAUUGAAUCAUGUUUUUUUUACUGCAAUGAUUUCCCCUACUUUAGCUGCCUCCGUUUCUUACCAUCCACUCUUGAGCAUUUGAGUUCCCAUCUUGUGGCGGCUUUUAUGAUCUAUUGCAGGAUGGAUUACUCGCGGAUAAGAAAGAUACCCAGAAACCUGAGCAAUCAAGACACGUGAAGGUUACCUUACCCAUUGACUGUCAACCAGUGAUACCACGUAGAGAUACAGUCUAUCAGUCAAUCUCUCUCUCUCUCU